rnacentral:rRNA from 1 species
UAACAGGAUUCCCCUAGUAACUGCGAGUGAAGCGGGAAAAGCUCAAAUUUAAAAUCUGGCGGUCUUCUGGCCGUCCGAGUUGUAGUCUGGAGAAGCGUUUUCCGCGUUGGACCGUGUACAAGUUUCCUGGAACGGAGCGUCAUAGAGGGUGAGAAUCCCGUCUUUGACACGGAUCCCAAUGCUUUGUGAUGCGCUCUCAAAGAGUCGAGUUGUUUGGGAAUGCAGCUCAAAAUGGGUGGUGAAUUCCAUCUAAAGCUAAAUAUUGGCGAGAGACCGAUAGCGAACAAGUACCGUGAGGGAAAGAUGAAAAGCACUUUGGAAAGAGAGUUAAACAGUACGUGAAAUUGUUGAAAGGGAAACGCUUGAAGUCAGUCGCGUCGGCCGGGACUCAGCCUUGCAUCCGCUUGGUGUACUUUCCGGUCGACGGGCCAGCAUCAGUUUUGACCGCGAGAUAAAGGCGGAGGGAAUGUGGCUCUCUCGGGAGUGUUAUAGCCCUUCGUCAGAUGUCGCGGUUGGGACUGAGGAACUCAGCACGCCUUUAUGGCCGGGGCUCGCCCACGUACGUGCUUAGGAUGCUGGCGUAAUGGCUUUAAACGACCCGUCUUGAAACACGGACCAAGGAGUCUAACAUGCCUGCGAGUGUUCGGGUGGAAAACCCGUGUGCGCAAUGAAAGUGAAAGUUGGGAUCCCUGUCGUGGGGUGCACCGACGCCCGGCCCAGACCUUUUGUGACGGAGCUGCGGUAGAGCAUGUAUGUUGGGACCCGAAAGAUGGUGAACUAUGCCUGAAUAGGGUGAAGCCAGAGGAAACUCUGGUGGAGGCUCGUAGCGAUUCUGACGUGCAAAUCGAUCGUCAAAUUUGGG